rnacentral:rRNA from 1 species
AACAAACGCUGGCGGCAGGCUUAACACAUGCAAGUCGAGCGCAUCCUUCGGGGUGAGCGGCAGACGGGUGAGUAACGCGUGGGAACGUACCCUUUCCUACGGAAUAGCUCCGGGAAACUGGAAUUAAUACCGUAUACGCCCUUAUGGGGAAAGAUUUAUCGGGGAAGGAUCGGCCCGCGUUGGAUUAGCUAGUUGGUGGGGUAAAGGCCUACCAAGGCGACGAUCCAUAGCUGGUCUGAGAGGAUGAUCAGCCACAUUGGGACUGAGACACGGCCCAAACUCCUACGGGAGGCAGCGGUGGGGAAUAUUGGACAAUGGGCGCAAGCCUGAUCCAGCCAUGCCGCGUGAGUGAUGAAGGCCUUAGGGUUGUAAAGCUCUUUCAGUAGGGAAGAUAAUGACGGUACCUACAGAAGAAGCCCCGGCUAACUUCGUGCCAGCCGCCGCCGCCG